ACACAGUGCUCUAUUCCGCUGUGAUUUUGAAGCUCUUGUAUAUUCUAUCUGGAUCUUCCUUAUUGUGGUAUUUAUUUUAUACAAAGAGAUAAAUCACUCUCAUGUAUGAUUUAAAAAAAAAAAAUUGAACAAGUGGCCAAAAACCUACAAGGGGACAUUUGUGUACUGCGGAUGUUUUUUUUUCCAGUGCUUUUUCUUACAAUUGCUAAGCCAGCGUUUCCUUAUAGGUAGUCAAUAUGAAGCUGUUGAUUGGACUCCGGGAUUACAUCGAACCUUGUUACUAGAUGACUGUGUGAGUGGAGGUGCUACCUGUGAACAGUUUCACACUACUGAAAGGCCUGAAACUAAGAGGCAUUUGUCCUUGAAACCAGUCAUGAAUGGAAGGUGAUGUUGAGAAGUCGUUAUCCAUCACUCUGGAAGAGUUGGUGAUGGGCAGACUGCCUGGCUUCUGGCAUGGCAUUUGGGUACAGGGGAUGGAAAAACAGAAGCUUAUCCAGAAAUCCUGAAAUACAUGGUCUGAUUUUUCCAGAACUGGAACAAGAGAAGCACCUCACCAAAAGAGAGCAAAUGCUGUCAUUUGACCUUUUCAGCCUUUGGAUUCUCAGUGCAUCUGACUCGACCAGGCAGGUCUGGGGAAGAGAAAAAUUAACAGCAGAUGGAUUUAUGAAAAGAGCUCAGUGGCAGAUGGUGCCUACAGAUAUUUACUGACAUGGCCUCGGUCUUACAGGGUGGGUUUUUUUCCCCUUUUAGUAGUGCUGUUAGUACAUGAGUGUGUGUGUGUGUGUGUUACGACAUAAUGCUGGCAGAUAGGGAUUACAUUGUUAGCAAGAGAAGAAACUCAGGGACUUCUAGUAUUGAGUUUGAGUAGUUCAGAGUUCCUCUUUGCUCAUGGUUUAAUCCAAUGGCAAGCAGCUGCGGUAGGAAUCUUUCUGGUCUCCUCCAUCUGUAAAUUCUUGAAUCACCAUUUUUCUGAAAUGGGUUCAUCUUCAUUGUACAGGGUUUUUAUCUUCUGGUAAUCAUUGUCACCUACACACUCAGACUCAGAGCUCUGACUGCCUUUCCACUAACGCUUCAGUUUUGUACUUCGAUAAUGAAGAUAAUGAUGCUGGACUUGAUUAUGAAAUGAGCUGAGUUUCACAGCUUAGAAUGUUUCUGUAUAUGGACUAGGUAUAAUUAAUUUCUUUCUGUUAUUACAUGCAAAAUCCUGUAACAGAUGGACUAGUAUAAUUUGGCAGAUAAUUUAUCUGACGUUUCCCUCAUCAAUCAUUAAACAAUUGGUAUAUUUCUUCAUUGUGCAGUCAGCUUUAAAUCCUAUUUUGUUAGAUGAUUCAUGGCAUACUGAUGGGAUUGGUCUAGAUCCAUCGAAAUCAAUGAGGAGACUGACUUGAACAGACUGUGAAUCAGACCUCAUUUUUAUACCAGUUGAUCUCAAAAGAUGGCAUAAUUAGUGAGUAAGAAGAUUCAUUUUAAGUUGUGUCUUGCUUUGUACUGGGGUUUUUCUGGAGAUGUUCCUCUGCAUAAUGCACAGAUAAGAAUGAAGCAAAUGUCGUUUUAUAUCCGUUUGCAGGGGCCUGUGUUGGAGGACAUGUUGCUGUGACAGUGGUGUCUGUAGAUGAUAUGUUGAAGGAGUGCAGAGUCAUGGUCUUACUACUGAAGUAGUAAAAUCCACUGAAGUCAUCCCAUUCCCUUCUCCUUCAGUAGUAGACACCUCCUCAUGUCAUGGAACAGAGCCACGAUACUUGGUAGUUGACUACUUGAUGUUUAUUAAAACUUCCUUCUCCCAAGACAGUGAUUUUUUUUUCCUAUGUAAUUUUAGAAGAAUGCUUGAAAAAGGUGACUUAGAUGAACCCUACAGGCUCAUUAAACAGUGGCAACUGAUAAAUCUUUUCUUUGAUAGUCUCUUGAAUUUUUAAGUCUUGGAGUUGGUAAUGCCCAUACUAUAGAUGUACGGAAAUGAAUAUUUCAGAAGUGGGCCAUACCUUUUAAGUGGGGUGAUUUGAAUAAAUGAUUUCACUUUUCUUCUGCCUUUUAAUUA
ensembl:lncRNA